rnacentral:rRNA from 1 species
UACGAAGGGGGCUAGCGUUGCUCGGAAUGACUGGGCGUAAAGCGCGCGCAGGCGGUCCUUUAAGUCUGAUGUGAAAGCCCACGGCUCAACCGUGGAGGGUCAUUGGAAACUGGGGGACUUGAGUGCAGAAGAGGAAAGCGGAAUUCCACGUGUAGCGGUGAAAUGCGUAGAGAUGUGGAGGAACACCAGUGGCGAAGGCGGCUUUCUGGUCUGUAACUGACGCUGAGGCGCGAAAGCGUGGGGAGCAAACAGG